rnacentral:rRNA from 1 species
GAUGAACGCUGGCGGCGUGCCUAAUACAUGCAAGUCGAGCGAACAGACGAGGAGCUUGCUCCUCUGACGUUAGCGGCGGACGGGUGAGUAACACGUGGAUAACCUACCUAUAAGACUGGGAUAACUUCGGGAAACCGGAGCUAAUACCGGAUAAUAUAUUGAACCGCAUGGUUCAAUAGUGAAAGACGGUUUUGCUGUCACUUAUAGAUGGAUCCGCGCCGCAUUAGCUAGUUGGUAAGGUAACGGCUUACCAAGGCGACGAUGCGUAGCCGACCUGAGAGGGUGAUCGGCCACACUGGAACUGAGACACGGUCCAGACUCCUACGAGAGGCAGCAGUAGGGAAUCUUCCGCAAUGGGCGAAAGCCUGACGGAGCAACGCCGCGUGAGUGAUGAAGGUCUUCGGAUCGUAAAACUCUGUUAUUAGGGAAGAACAAAUGUGUAAGUAACUAUGCACGUCUUGACGGUACCUAAUCAGAAAGCCACGGCUAACUACGUG